CAGCACCUCAAGUGGUCAGGAUGAUUAUUGGGCCUAAAGCAUCCGUAGCCGGCGCUGUAAGUUUUCGGUUAAAUCUGUACGCUCAACGUACAGGCUGCCGGGAAUACUGCAGCGCUAGGGAGUGGGAGAGGUAGACGGUACUCGGUAGGAAGGGGUAAGAUCCUUUGAUCUAUUGAUGACCACCUGUGGCGAAGGCGGUCUACCAGAACACGUCCGACGGUGAGGGAUGAAAGCUGGGGGAGCAAACCGGAUUAGAUACCCGAGUAGUCC
rnacentral:rRNA from 1 species